rnacentral:rRNA from 1 species
UCAUUAGCGAGUAGCAAUAUUUGCUAGUGGGAGUGGCGCAAGGGUGCGUAACACGUGGGCAAUCUGCCGUGAAGUUUGGGAUAACUUGCUGAAAGGCGAGCUAAUACCGGAUGUGACAACCUGGUGGCAUCAUUGGGUUGUUAAAGUUGGGGACCGCAAGGCCUGACGCUUCACGAUGAACCCGCGGCCUAUCAGCUAGUUGGUGAGGUAACGGCUCACCAAGGCUAAGACGGGUAGCUGGUCUGAGAGGACGACCAGCCACACUGGAACUGAGACACGGUCCAGACACCUACGGGUGGCAGCAGUCGAGAAUUUUUCACAAUGGGCGAAAGCCUGAUGGAGCGACGCCGCGUGGGGGAUGAAUGGCUUCGGCCCGUAAACCCCUGUCAUUCGCGAUCAACCCUUAUUAUUUAAAAGAUGAUGAGCUGAUAGUAGCGGAAGAGGAAGGGACGGCUAACUCUGUGCCAGCAGCCGCGGUAAUACAGAGGUCCCAAGCGUUGUUCGGAUUCACUGGGCGUAAAGGGUGCGUAGGUGGCGAGGUAAGUCGGAUGUGAAAUCUCCAAGCUCAACUUGGAAAUGGCAUUGGAAACUGCCCUGCUAGAGGAUCGGAGGGGGGACUGGAAUACUUGGUGUAGCAGUGAAAUGCGUAGAUAUCAAGUGGAACACCAGUGGCGAAGGCGAGUCCCUGGACGAUACCUGACACUGAGGCACGAAAGCUAGGGGAGCAAACAGGAUUAGAUACCCUGGUAGUCCUAGCCGUAAACGGUGCACGUUUGCUGUAAAAGGAAUCGACCCCUUUUG